rnacentral:rRNA from 1 species
GACGAACGCUGGCGGCGUGCCUAAUACAUGCAAGUCGAGCGAAGUUUUUCUGGUGCUUGCACCGGAAAAACUUAGCGGCGAACGGGUGAGUAACACGUAAAGAACCUGCCUCAUAGACUGGGACAACUAUUGGAAACGAUAGCUAAUACCGGAUAAUAGCACUAACUGCAUGGUUGAUGUUUAAUAGUUGUUUUUGCUAACACUAUGAGAUGGCUUUGCGUUGCAUUAGCUAGUUGGUGGGGUAAAGGCCUACCAAGGCGACGAUGCAUAGCCGACCUGAGAGGGUGAUCGGCCACACUGGGACUGAGACACGGCCCAGACUCCUACGGGAGGCAGCAGUAGGGAAUCUUCCGCAAUGGGCGAAAGCCUGACGGAGCAACGCCGCGUGAGUGAAGAAGGAUUUCGGUUCGGAAAGCUCUGUUGUUAGGGAAGAAUGAUUGUGUAGUAACUAUACACAGUAGAGACGGUACCUAACCAGAAAGCAACGGCUAACUACGUG